rnacentral:lncRNA from 1 species
GCCCAGCAGGGCCGAGUCAGCGGGCGAGGUAAGAGCCGCAGGAACAUCGCGUCGCCUGAUCGUCCUUUUACCCGCUGCCCCUACCAGAGAAGAGUCCCCAUGGCCACUCUGUGGCGCGUUGGAUAGACAGUGCCACUGCCUGCUUCUGCCCGCGUCCGCUCCUGCCGGGGACCCCAACUUCGGUCCUCCGAUAGCUCCUGGGAGAAAGUUCCUGGAGCCACUUCCGGGAGGGAGGCGCCACCUGUCUGGGGCGCGCCCUGACGCUGGACUUGUCCAGGAAAGAAGAGCUGGACCUGGCAAGCUGAGUCUGCAGAGCAUUUCACAGUGAUGAAUCAGUGCAUUUACAGAGGGAUGGAGGAGCACAAGGAAAGACCCAAGCGGCCAAGGCAGAACAACUUCUCCAUGUUUCCCUCUCCCAAAGCCUGGAAUUUCAGAGGGCGGAAACGGAAGCAGAGUGCCCAGGAUGAAGAUGCCGUCAGCCUAUGCAGUCUUGACAUAAGUGAACCUAGUAACAAAAGGGUCAAACCCCUUUCCAGAGUCACAUCGCUAGCAAACCUCAUCCCACCUGUGAAGACCACACCGUUAAAGCGCUUCAGCCAAACCUUGCAGCGGUCCAUCAGCUUCCGCAAUGAGAGCCGCCCCGACAUCCUCGCCCCUAGAGCCUGGUCCAGAAAUGCCACCUCCUCAAGCACGAAGCGGAGGGACAGCAAACUCUGGAGUGAGACCUUCGAUGUGUGUGUCAGUCAGGUGCUCACAGCCAAGGAGAUCAAGAGACAGGAGGCAAUUUUUGAGCUUUCUCAAGGUGAAGAGGAUUUGAUAGAGGACUUGAAA